rnacentral:misc_RNA from 1 species
AGAGUUCAUAAUUCUAAAGGCCACUCGGAUAUCACUCAUCUAAAUUUAUGGAGAAGCAUAACCCAUAUCUAUACACAAUGGAUUAUUCAUGGUAUAUUAUCGCCUACAAGAGGAGCAAUAGUAGGUAUCAUAAUAUAUCCAUCUGAGCUUACUCCUUCCAAUUCUACUUGUUCUCCAUGUGUCUUCUUGCACCGGUAGUAGAACACAGUGAAAGCAGAAAACC